rnacentral:piRNA from 1 species
UCCCAGACAAGCAGAUGAAUGGUGAAA